rnacentral:lncRNA from 1 species
CACAUAAGGCUGGGCCGGUCCAAGAAAGGUCCACCGCUGGGAAUGGAUAUGUUGACUUUGCAUUUACAGCUGUAAUUUGGCUAAAAAAAAUAGGGGCAAAGACUUUUUGAUCUUGUAUUGUGCCU